CUGUACCUGGCGCAUUCGAUGCCGCACGUCCCCCUCGCCGUGUCCGAGCAGUUCAGGAACCAGUCGGCUGCCGGCCUCUACGGUGACGUGAUCGAGAGCCUCGAUUGGAGUACGGGUCGAAUCCUCGACACGCUCGUCGAGGAGGAGAUCGACGACAACACGCUCGUUAUCUUCACGAGCGACAACGGGCCGUGG
rnacentral:rRNA from 1 species